AACUGGUGAACUGGCAGUUAUUCUCAGGACAGUUCAACUUCCCACUGUGCCAGGUACUGCCUGGCGCUGUCCCUUGGUGGGGGCUGGAGUGUGCAUUUUUUGGACCUCAUUAUUUUUAAAAUACUGCCACUUCCUGUCUUCUUUUAAAAUUCUGAUCAGAGGGAGAGAACUCAAGAUGGCGCUGUGAGAACAACCCAGGAUUGGAGCUCUCAUUGAAUCUGCAAAGAGAUGGAGUUUCAUUUUUUUUGCCCAGGAUCUAG
rnacentral:lncRNA from 1 species